UGUGCUUUGUCGACUGAGGUUACGCAAUUCAUGUCCCGUGGCAAGUUGAUACCUAAAUACUUCUUGUCUAUGUUGAUGGGCGUAUCAUGAACGAAAAUAAAACCCUGACCGAAGAGAGUCAGGUGAGAUGGAGGAAGACUUCACACCUGACGCGCACCUGUAGAGGUGACGACGGCUGAGUCUCAACAACUGGAGGGCUUUGAAGUGUCAGCAAUGCUCACUCUGGGCGAGUGACGGCUAUCGACAUGACGACCUUUUCGGUAAGAGUUCCGCCAGUAAUCCCCGCUUGAAAUGUCAAAAUGUGUGAAAGUAAAAAUUAAAGGGGGAAAGAUUUCCGCCCGUAACACC